GCACCAGAAGCUCAGAGCCCGAGCGCCGGUCUUGUAAACCGGAAGUCGGGGGUUCAAAUCCCCCCUGCUGCU
rnacentral:tRNA from 1 species